GACGAACGCUGGCGGCGUGCCUAAUACAUGCAAGUUGAGCGCUGAAGGUUGGUACUUGUACCAACUGGAUGAGCAGCGAACGGGUGAGUAACGCGUGGGGAAUCUGCCUUUGAGCGGGGGACAACAUUUGGAAACGAAUGCUAAUACCGCAUAAAAACUUUACACACAAGUUUUAAGUUUGAAAGAUGCAAUUGCAUCACUCAAAGAUGAUCCCGCGUUGUAUUAGCUAGUUGGUGAGGUAAAGGCUCACCAAGGCGAUGAUACAUAGCCGACCUGAGAGGGUGAUCGGCCACAUUGGGACUGAGACACGGCCCAAACUCCUACGGGAGGCAGCAGUAGGGAAUCUUCGGCAAUAGACGAAAGUCUGACCGAGCAACGCCGCGUGAGUGAAGAAGGUUUUCGGAUCGUAAAACUCUGUUGGUAGAGAAGAACGUUGGUGAGAGUGGAAAGCUCAUCAAGUGACGGUAACUACCCAGAAAGGGACGGCUAACUACGUG
rnacentral:rRNA from 1 species